ensembl:lncRNA
AGAGCGGCGUAGGCCUACGCCUUCUUUUGUGCGUACGCAACGUUUAUAAAUGAGGCCCCUGGUCCUUAUAUAGAAAAACUUCACACAUGGAAGGAUCGAAGCUUCCUCAGGAAAAGGAGACGACUGAUCCCCUUCCUGUAGACAGCGUUGAUGUUGGUCUUCCAGUUCAGUCUGUUGUCGAUGGAGACAUCCAGGUACUCAACCAUUACCACAUCCUCUCCCAGAACCCUCAGCGGUAGCGGAGCCGUCGUCUUCCUCCCGAAGUCGACCACCAUCUCUCUCUGGUCUUGGCCACGUUCAGGCGCAGGUGAUUUCUUCCCGCCCACACCACAAAGUCCUCCACUACUGCCCUGUACUCCUCCUCCCGUCCAUCCCUUAUACACCCUACCACUGCAGAGUCAUCAGAGAAUUUCUGCAGAUGCCAGGACUAUACUGGAAGUCAGUGGUAUAUAAGGUGAACAGGAAGGGAGACCAAACAGUUCCCUGUGGAGCUCCAGUACCACUGACCACCGUAUCAGACAGCACACUGCCCAGUCGAACAAAUGAUGCCUCCUUCCCUGACGAGCUUAACAGCUUUUAUGCACGCUUCGACAAGGACAACAGGAGGCUGCCAUCAAGGCUGCGCUCACUUUAGACCACCAGCCCCCCACACUCUCCUCCACCGAAGUGUGUGCUGCGCUGAGCAGGAUUAAUGCACGUAAGGCUGCUGGCCCUGAUGGCGUCCCCGGACGCGUGCUCAGGGCCUGUGCUGGGCAGCUUUCUGAGGUCUUGACUGACAUAUUCAACCUGUCACUAGCCCAAGCUACUGUCCCCACGUGCUUUAAAACCACCUCUAUCAUGCCAGUGCCAAAGCACUCCACCGCAGUGAGCCUAAAUGACUUCCGCCCAGUUGCACUCACUCCAACCAUCAUGAAGUGCUUCGAGAGGCUGGUCCUGGCUCACCUCAAAACCUGCUUACCACCCACACUGGACCCCUUCCAAUUCACCUACCGCAACAGGAGUACGGAGGAUGCCAUCUCCACGGCAUUACACUCCGCCCUUUCUCACCUGGACAAUAACAACAGCUGUGUGAGGAUGCUGUUCAUAGACUUCAGUUCAGCUUUCAACACUUUCAUCCCCUCCAAACUAAUCACAAAACUCAGUCACCUGGGUAUCAACACUUCCCUCUGUAACGGGAUACUGGACUUCCUAUCCAACAGACCCCAGUCUGUUAGGGUAGAGAACCACACCUCCUCAACCCUCAUCCUGAACACCGGCGUGCCACAGGGCUGUGUGCUAAGUCCUCUCCUCUACUCCCUCUUCACCUACGACUGCACACCUGUACACUGUUCUAAUACCCUUGUCAAGUUUGCAGACGACACAACGGUGAUUGGCCUCAUCAGUGACAAUGAUGAGUCGGCCUACAGAGAGGAGAUCCAGCCCCUGGCGGUAUGGUACGCCGUCAACAACCUGGCUCUCAACACCAAGAAGACCAAAGAGCUAAUUGUGGACUUCAGGUAGAAAACUGGCACACACAUCCCCAUCCACAUCAACGGGAUGGAGGUUGAGCGUGUCGCCAGCUUCAAGUUCCUGGGUGUCCACAUCUCUGAGGACCUCUCUUGGACCCUCAACACCUCAUCCCUGGUAAAGAAAGCACACCAGCGUCUCUUCUUCCUGAGGAGACUGAAGAAGGCCCAUCUCCUCAGAUUCUAGAGAAUUCUAGAGAAUUUCUACCGCUGUACCAUAGAGAGCAUCCUUACAAACUGCAUCUCAGUAUGGGUACGGGCAGCUGCUCUGUCGCGGACCGUAAAUCACUGCAGAGGGUGGUGAAAACUGCCCAACGCAUCACCGGUUCCUCACUCCCCACCAUUGAGGCUGUCCAGAGCAAGAGAUGUCUGCGGAGGGCACGCAGCUCUCACCCCAGCCACAGACUGUUUGCCCUCCUCCCCUCUGGGAGGCGCUACAGGGUGCUCCGUUCCCAGACCAGCAGGUUCAGGAACAGCUUCAUUCCUGCGGCUGUCACUCUACUGAACUCUGCCCCCCACCCCCACAUACAUCUCCCUCAGUGACUACUUCCCCCCUCCACCCUGGCUUGACUGCCACACCCUCCUCCAGCCACUGAACAUUUGCACUGUUAUUGCAUGUCCAUUUCUUACUGUUCAUAUUGCACAAUAUUUCUUACUGUACAUCUAUUUAUUCACUUAUUACACUGUACAUAUGCACAGACUCUGCACUUUUUCCUAUUUUGCACUUCUGGUUGGAUGUUAAACUGCAUUUCGUUGCCUCAGUACUUGUACCCUGUGCAAUGACAAUAAAGUUGAAUCUAAUCUAAAAAAUAAAUAAAACUGUGGCCUGCCUGUCAGGUAGUCAGUGAUCCAGGAGACGGUGGACGAGUCCACCCCCACCACCCGCAGCUUCUCACUCAGUAGCAGUGGUUGGAUGGUGUUGAAGGCACUGGUGAAAUAAAAGAAAGUUAUUCUCACAGACCCACCCUUUCCAUCCAGGUGCGACUGAGCUCGUUGCAGCAGGUAGAUGAUGGCGUCAUCCACCCCCACACGAGGCUGGUAUGCAAACUGCAGCGGGUCAAGUGAAGAUUUCACCUGCGGCCUGAGGCGGGCCAAGACCAGCCUCUCCAGCACCUUCAUAACAUGGGAUGUGAGGGCGACCGGUCGAUUGUCGCUGCUUCAUGCUCGGGUUGAAGGACCUCAGCCAGCUGGAAAGCACAGGUCUUCAGGACCCUGGGGCUGAUGCCCUCAGGUCUUGCGUUGGUGGAGUCUCCUCAACUGUCUCCGAACCUGGUCAGUCGUCACCGAGAGGGGGGCGGGGGGGGGGGGGGGGGGUUACGGUGUCAGUGAGGGAAGGGCCCUUUGAAGUGGCCUCACAGUCCAAGCUGCUCACCAGGGGAGAUAGAGGGGGGAGGGUGGACGGCAGCAGAGGUGUGGGGGGUGGAGGAGCCCUUUGAAGUUGGGGGCUCUGUGUCCAUGCAGCUCACCAGAGGGCACCGGGGGGAGGGGGGAAGUCAGCUGAGGUGUUUGGGAGGUGAGGUGUGAGGAGGAGACAGAUGAGGGCUGUGAGCUGAACCUGUUGAAGAAGCAGUUCAGCUCAUUUGCCCUCUCCAGGGAGCCCCCUGGUUGACUCUGUCUUCCCUUGAAGCCUAAGAUCUCUUUCAUGCCGGACCACACCUCCCUCACGUUGUUCUGCUGGAGUUUGGCCUCCAGCUUCCUCCUAGAAGAGUUCUUACACUCCCUGAUCUUCACCUUCAGGUCGCGCUGAACUCUCCUGAGUUCCUCCCUGUCCCCAGACUUGAAAGCUGCUUUCUUCUUAACUGGAUGUAUUCUGUGACACAGUCCGUUAAGUUGUUGAUGUCCUCCCCAUGUGGUCCACACAGCACAUUCCAGUCUGUGGACUCAAAGCAGUCCUGCAGUGCCUCAUUAGCCUCCUGUGACUCACAGACCUGGUGGUCACAGGCUGCCUCUGCCAGAGGAACAUAACUUGGAGUCAGCAGGACCAGGUUGUGAUCCGACCUGCCAAGCAGGGGAAGGGCGGUAGCACUGUAUGCAUCCAUGGCAUUAGCAUACAGCAAGUUUUAUUGUUCCGUGUGGGGCAGUCAACAUACCGGUGCAGAGUUGGCAGAGCUUUAUCCAGAGUGAUGUGGUUAAAGUCUCCUGUAACGGCCAAAAAUGCACCGGGAUGCUGGUUUGAUCGACAGAUACAGUUGAGUAUCGUCUGCAUAACAAUGGAAGUUUAUGCGGUGUUUUCUGAUAAGAUCGCCCAAAGGAAGCAUAUAGAGGGUAAAUAAAAUCGGUCCAAGUACAGAACCUUGUGGGACUCCGUGACCAUCUAUGGUAUCAAAUGCGGCCCUGAGGUCCAGCAAGACAAGAAAAGAGAUGAGUCCUUGAUCCAAUGCAAGUAGAAGAUUAUUCGGAAUUUUCACCAGUGCUGUUUCUAUGCUAUGAUGCACUCGAAAUCCUGACUGGAAAUCCCCGAACAAAGCAUUGUUUUGUAGAAAGUCACAUAAUUGAUUUGCAACAGAUUUCUCAAGGAUCUUAG